rnacentral:rRNA from 1 species
UGGCUCAGAUUGAACGCUGGCGGCAUGCCUUACACAUGCAAGUCGAACGGCAGCACGGGUGCUUGCACCUGGUGGCGAGUGGCGAACGGGUGAGUAAUACAUCGGAACAUGUCCUGUAGUGGGGGAUAGCCCGGCGAAAGCCGGAUUAAUACCGCAUACGAUCCACGGAUGAAAGCGGGGGACCUUCGGGCCUCGCGCUAUAGGGUUGGCCGAUGGCUGAUUAGCUAGUUGGUGGGGUAAAGGCCUACCAAGGCGACGAUCAGUAGCUGGUCUGAGAGGACGACCAGCCACACUGGGACUGAGACACGGCCCAGACUCCUACGGGAGGCAGCAGUGGGGAAUUUUGGACAAUGGGCGAAAGCCUGAUCCAGCAAUGCCGCGUGUGUGAAGAAGGCCUUCGGGUUGUAAAGCACUUUUGUCCGGAAAGAAAUCCCUGGCUCUAAUACAGUCGGGGGAUGACGGUAC